rnacentral:rRNA from 1 species
AGUGGAUGGGGAGCAACCUAGUUGUGCGUGUGUAAAGGUAGUGCCAAGAAAAGCGGUGAUCAUGAUGAAAAUCAAUUCCCGGUACCCGAAACCGACACAGGUGGGCAAGUAGAGAAUACUAAGGGGCGCGAGGUAACUCUCUCCAAGGAACUCGGCAAGAUGACCCCGUAACCUAGGGAGAAGGGGUGCCACCGAGAGGUGGUCGCAGUGAAGAGGCCCAGGCGACUGUUUAGCAAAAACAUAGGUCUCUGCAAACUCGAAAGAGGAGGUAUAGGGGCUGACGCCUGCCCAGUGCCGGAAGGUUAAAGAAGUUGGUCAGUCUUAGGAUGAAGCUAGCGACUGAAGCCCCGGUGAACGGCGGCCGUAACUAUAACGGUCCUAAGGUAGCGAAAUUCCUUGUCGGGUAAGUUCCGACCCGCACGAAAGGCGUAACGAUCUGGGCGCUGUCUCGGAGAGAGGCUCGGCGAAAUAGGAUUGUCUGUGAAGAUACGGACUACCUGCAUUUGGACAGAAAGACCCUAUGAAGCUUUACUAUAGCUUGGAAUUGUGUUCGGGCUUCCUGUGCGCAGGAUAGGUGGGAGGCGUAGAAGGUAUUCUUGUGGGGAUACUGGAGCCAACGGUGAGAUACCACUCUCAGGAGGCUAGAAUUCUAACUUAAUUAAGGACAGUUUCAGGUGGGUAGUUUGACUGGGGCGGUCGCCUCCAAAAAGGUAACGGAGGCGUACAAAGGUUCCCUCAGACUGGUUGGAAAUCAGUCGAAGAGUGCAAAGGCAGAAGGGAGCUUGACUGCGAGAAGUACAGUUCGAGCAGGGUGGAAACACGGUCUUAGUGAUCCGACGGUGCUGUGUGGAAGGGCCGUCGCUCAACGGAUAAAAGUUACUCUAGGAUAACAGGCUGAUCUCCCCCAAGAGUUCACAUCGACGGGGAGGUUUGGCACCUCGAUGUCGGCUCAUCGCAACCUGGGGCGGAAGUACGUCCCAAGGGUUGGGCUGUUCGCCCAUUAAAGCGGUACGUGAGCUGGGUUCAGAACGUCGUGAGACAGUUCGGUCCAUAUCCGAUGUAGGCGUGAGAAUAUUGAGAGGAGCCUUCCUUAGUACGAGAGGACCGGGAAGGACGCACCGCUGGUGUACCUGUUAUGAUGCCAAUUGUAAACGCAGGGUAGCCAAGUGCGGAGAGGAUAACCGCUGAAAGCAUCUAAGUGGGAAGCCCACCUCAAGAUGAGUAUUCUGGUGUAAGGUCACGGGAAGACGACCCGUAAAUAGGCACGAGGUGGAAGUGCAGAGAUGUAUGAAGCCGAAGUGUACUAAUAGACCGUCGGCUUGAUCA